rnacentral:rRNA from 1 species
CAGAGGUCCCAAGCGUUGUUCGGAUUCACUGGGCGUAAAGGGUGCGUAGGUGGUUGGGUAAGUCUGAUGUGAAAUCUCCGGGCUCAACCCGGAAAUGGCAUUGGAUACUAUUCGGCUAGAGGUUUGGAGGGGGGACUGGAAUUCUCGGUGUAGCAGUGAAAUGCGUAGAUAUCGAGAGGAACACCAGUGGCGAAGGCGAGUCCCUGGACAACACCUGACACUGAGGCACGAAAGCUAGGGGAGCAAACAGGAUUAGAUACCCUGGUAGUCCUAGCCGUAAACGGUGCUUGCUUGCUGUAGAAGGAAUCGACCCCUUCUGUGGCGAAGCCAACGCGAUAAGCAAGCCGCCUGGGAAGUACGGUCGCAAGAUUA